CUACGGGCCGCUCCAGUGGGGAAUAUUGCACAAUGGGGGAAACCCUGAUGCAGCGACGCCGCGUGAGUGAAGAAGUAUUUCGGUAUGUAAAGCUCUAUCAGCAGGGAAGAUAAUGACAGUACCUGACUAAGAAGCCCCGGCUAACUACGUGCCAGCAGCCGCGGUAAUACGUAGGGGGCAAGCGUUAUCCGGAUUUACUGGGUGUAAAGGGAGCGCAGGUGGUUCGGCAAGUCAGAUGUGAAAGCCCGGGGCUCAACCCCGGGACUGCAUUUGAAACUGUCGGACUAGAGUGCAGGAGAGGUAAGUGGAAUUCCUAGUGUAGCGGUGAAAUGCGUAGAUAUUAGGAGGAACACCAGUGGCGAAGGCGACUUACUGGACUGUAACUGACACUGAGGCUCGAAAGCGUGGGGAGCAAACAGGAUUAGAUACCCCUGUAGUC
rnacentral:rRNA from 1 species